AGCUUGCUCCCGGAUGUUAGCGGCGGACGGGUGAGUAACACGUGGGUAACCUGCCUGUAAGACUGGGAUAACUCCGGGAAACCGGAGCUAAUACCGGAUAGUUCCUUGAACCGCAUGGUUCAAGGAUGAAAGACGGUUUCGGCUGUCACUUACAGAUGGACCCGCGGCGCAUUAGCUAGUUGGUGGGGUAAUGGCUCACCAAGGCGACGAUGCGUAGCCGACCUGAGAGGGUGAUCGGCCACACUGGGACUGAGACACGGCCCAGACUCCUACGGGAGGCAGCAGUAGGGAAUCUUCCGCAAUGGACGAAAGUCUGACGGAGCAACGCCGCGUGAGUGAUGAAGGUUUUCGGAUCGUAAAGCUCUGUUGUUAGGGAAGAACAAGUGCGAGAGUAACUGCUCGCACCUUGACGGUACCUAACCAGAAAGCCACGGCUAACUACGUGCCAGCAGCCGCGGUAAUACGUAGGUGGCAAGCGUUGUCCGGAAUUAUUGGGCGUAAAGGGCUCGCAGGCGGUUUCUUAAGUCUGAUGUGAAAGCCCCCGGCUCAACCGGGGAGGGUCAUUGGAAACUGGGAAACUUGAGUGCAGAAGAGGAGAGUGGAAUUCCACGUGUAGCGGUGAAAUGCGUAGAGAUGUGGAGGAACACCAGUGGCGAAGGCGACUCUCUGGUCUGUAACUGACGCUGAGGAGCGAAAGCGUGGGGAGCGAACAGGAUUAGAUACCCUGGUAGUCCACGCCGUAAACGAUGAGUGCUAA
rnacentral:rRNA from 1 species